rnacentral:rRNA from 1 species
CCCCGGUAAACGGCGGCCGUAACUAUAACGGUCCUAAGGUAGCGAAAUUCCUUGUCGGGUAAGUUCCGACCUGCACGAAUGGCGUAAUGAUGGCCAGGCUGUCUCCACCCGAGACUCAGUGAAAUUGAACUCGCUGUGAAGAUGCAGUGUACCCGCGGCAAGACGGAAAGACCCCGUGAACCUUUACUAUAGCUUGACACUGAACAUUGAGCCUUGAUGUGUAGGAUAGGUGGGAGGCUUUGAAGUGUGGACGCCAGUCUGCAUGGAGCCGACCUUGAAAUACCACCCUUUAAUGUUUGAUGUUCUAACGUGGACCCGUAAUCCGGGUUGCGGACAGUGUCUGGUGGGUAGUUUGACUGGGGCGGUCUCCUCCUAAAGAGUAACGGAGGAGCACGAAGGUUGGCUAAUCCUGGUCGGACAUCAGGAGGUUAGUGCAAUGGCAUAAGCCAGCUUGACUGCGAGCGUGACGGCGCGAGCAGGUGCGAAAGCAGGUCAUAGUGAUCCGGUGGUUCUGAAUGGAAGGGCCAUCGCUCAACG